rnacentral:rRNA from 1 species
UAUAAGUGAUGGCGACCGGCGCACGGGUGAGUAACACGUAUCCAACCUGCCGAUAACUCGGGGAUAGCCUUUCGAAAGAAAGAUUAAUACCCGAUGGUAUAAUAAAACCGCAUGGUUUAAUUAUUAAAGAAUUUCGGUUAUCGAUGGGGAUGCGUUCCAUUAGGCAGUUGGUGAGGUAACGGCUCACCAAACCUUCGAUGGAUAGGGGUUCUGAGAGGAAGGUCCCCCACAUUGGAGCUGAGACACGGUCCAA